rnacentral:rRNA from 1 species
GCAAGUCGAGCGAGAAAGCACUUCGGUGCGAGUACAGCGGCGGACGGGUGAGUAACGCGUAGGAAUCUACCCAGUAGUGGGGGACAACAGUCGGAAACGGCUGCUAAUACCGCAUACGCCCCAAGGGGGAAAGCGGGGGAUCUUCGGACCGGUCGCUAUUGGAUGAGCCUGCGUAAGAUUAGCUAGUUGGUGGGGUAAAGGCUCACCAAGGCGACGAUCCUUAGCUGGUCUGAGAGGAUGAUC